rnacentral:rRNA from 1 species
UGGGGAAUAUUGCACAAUGGGGGAAACCCUGAUGCAGCGACGCCGCGUGAGUGAAGAAGUAUUUCGGUACGUAAAGCUCUAUCAGCAGGGAAGAAAAACCGGCCUUAGGGCCGCCAGACGGUACCUGACUAAGAAGCCCCGGCUAACUACGUGCCAGCAGCCGCGGUAAUACGUAGGGGGCAAGCGUUAUCCGGAUUUACUGGGUGUAAAGGGAGCGUAGACGGCAGCGCAAGUCUGGAGUGAAAUGCCGGGGCCCAACCCCGGAACUGCUUUGGAAACUGUGCAGCUGGAGUGCAGGAGAGGUAAGCGGAAUUCCUAGUGUAGCGGUGAAAUGCGUAGAUAUUAGGAGGAACACCAGUGGCGAAGGCGGCUUACUGGACUGUAACUGACGUUGAGGCUCGAAAGCGUGGGGAGCAAACA